GGUGCUGUGGCUUAGUUGGUUAAAGCGUCUGUCUAGUAAACAGGAGUUUGACUCUCAGCAGUGCCU
rnacentral:tRNA from 1 species